AGUGUUACAACUGUCGCCCUCUCUCUUCCUCACUCUCUCCUCCUCCCCUCUCUUUAAGUUUCCUCCCCCAUUCCUUGACUUAACAUGCUGCUUCAGUCUCACAGUGGAGACACUCAGAGAGCACCACAGAGAGGGACAGCAGCAGCAAACCACAGACAGCACUACUACUAUCCCUCUCUCCACCUCUUCUCUCCACUACUACUAUCCCCCUCUCCACCUCUUCUCUCCACUACUACUAUCCCCCUCUCCACCUCCUCUCCACUACUACUGUCCUCCUCUCCACCUCUUCUCUACUUCUUCUCUCUCUGUGUCUCCCUUGUUCACCUUGUCAGGUCAGUGUGGAUGUGAGAUGGGUUGUGGAUAUUCCUCGACGACCAGCAUGGCUGGAGGAGGUCCAGCUGAAGCCUCCAAAGAAGAAGUCACAGAGGAGUCUGCACAAGAAGAAGAAAAAAGGAUGAACUAUGGAGGUGUGUAUGUGGGACUACCAGCAGACCUGAGCGUUAUGCCUCCUAUCCAGAUGGGAACACACCAAGAUAAGUGAAGCAUCAUUGAAACACCUUUCACUAAAGGUAUGAUGUCAACGGCCCCGAUCUCAAUAUCCUAUGUUAAACUCUCUGCCUCAAUCUCAGAAGUUCAUCUUUUGGGACUCUCACACCCACGACAGACAGACAGACAGACAGACAGACAGACAGACAGACAGACAGACAGACAGACACAGACAGA